rnacentral:misc_RNA from 1 species
CUGCCCCCAGUCCCCCUCCGGGUAUUCCAACCUUGACCAUCAGCUGUAGUGACGAUUAAAAACUAUUUUGCAUAUGAAACAAGUGUGGCUCGAUUGUGAAAUCUCAUUGUCUGCCAACGUAUGGAUCUCAGCUAUAAAGAUGCACAAGCUACAACUUUGGAUGUAGAGGUAGAGCGGAGGAUCGAAGAUGGGCUUACAUCUAGACGAUUUGUCAGCACUACCGUGAAACUGUCGCCAUCUAUCUCUAUUGUUUCAAUUUAAUUACUGGGAAUAAGAGGAGCUACUGGAUUCACUGAAAGCUGAAUUUCCAUCCCUUUGAGAUCAAUGAAUGUAAUCCUUCACUUGGACUAAAUAAAGUCAAUCCGUGUAAAACAACUUCAACAGUUGAACAAAGAAGUGUACUAAAGGAGAGAACAAGUUGAAAUGCUACAAAAGUUCUUACUUCAUCAAUAGGAAAAGCUGACCUCCCAUUGUUUAUAUUCGAAAUCAGUUUUGUUACUAAACCUAUAACGUGAAAAAUAUAA